AGAGUUUGAUCCUGGCUCAGGACGAACGCUAGCUACAGGCUUAACACAUGCAAGUCGAGGGGCAGCAUGGUCUUAGCUUGCUAAGACUGAUGGCGACCGGCGCACGGGUGAGUAACACGUAUCCAACCUGCCGUCUACUCUUGGACAGCCUUCUGAAAGGAAGAUUAAUACAAGAUGGCAUCAUGAGUCCGCAUGUUCACAUGAUUAAAGGUAUUCCGGUAGACGAUGGGGAUGCGUUCCAUUAGAUAGUAGGCGGGGUAACGGCCCACCUAGUCUUCGAUGGAUAGGGGUUCUGAGAGGAAGGUCCCCCACAUUGGAACUGAGACACGGUCCAAACUCCUACGGGAGGCAGCAGUGAGGAAUAUUGGUCAAUGGGCGAGAGCCUGAACCAGCCAAGUAGCGUGAAGGAUGACUGCCCUAUGGGUUGUAAACUUCUUUUAUAAAGGAAUAAAGUCGGGUAUGGAUACCCGUUUGCAUGUACUUUAUGAAUAAGGAUCGGCUAACUCCGUGCCAGCAGCCGCGGUAAUACGGAGGAUCCGAGCGUUAUCCGGAUUUAUUGGGUUUAAAGGGAGCGUAGAUGGAUGUUUAAGUCAGUUGUGAAAGUUUGCGGCUCAACCGUAAAAUUGCAGUUGAUACUGGAUAUCUUGAGUGCAGUUGAGGCAGGCGGAAUUCGUGGUGUAGCGGUGAAAUGCUUAGAUAUCACGAAGAACUCCGAUUGCGAAGGCAGCCUGCUAAGCUGCAACUGACAUUGAGGCUCGAAAGUGUGGGUAUCAAACAGGAUUAGAUACCCUGGUAGUCCACACGGUAAACGAUGAAUACUCGCUGUUUGCGAUAUACAGCAAGCGGCCAAGCGAAAGCGUUAAGUAUUCCACCUGGGGAGUACGCCGGCAACGGUGAAACUCAAAGGAAUUGACGGGGGCCCGCACAAGCGGAGGAACAUGUGGUUUAAUUCGAUGGUACGCGAGGAACCUUACCCGGGCUUAAAUUGCAGAUGAAUUACGGUGAAAGCCGUAAGCCGCAAGGCAUCUGUGAAGGUGCUGCAUGGUUGUCGUCAGCUCGUGCCGUGAGGUGUCGGCUUAAGUGCCAUAACGAGCGCAACCCUUGUUGUCAGUUACUAACAGGUUCCGCUGAGGACUCUGACAAGACUGCCAUCGUAAGAUGUGAGGAAGGUGGGGAUGACGUCAAAUCAGCACGGCCCUUACGUCCGGGGCUACACACGUGUUACAAUGGGGGGUACAGAGGGCCGCUACCACGCGAGUGGAUGCCAAUCCCCAAAACCUCUCUCAGUUCGGACUGGAGUCUGCAACCCGACUCCACGAAGCUGGAUUCGCUAGUAAUCACGCAUCAGCCACGGCGCGGUGAAUACGUUCCCGGGCCUUGCACACACCGCCCGUCA
rnacentral:rRNA from 1 species